rnacentral:rRNA from 1 species
GAACGCAUACUUUAGAGUAUGAGUGGCAGACGGGUGAGUAACGCGUGAGACAUCUACCUUACAGCCCGGUAUAAAUAUCUAUAUAGAGGCGAAAAUCUUUAUAUAUGAGUGAAUCCCGGAUAUUUUGAAUAAAAAAAAAGGCAAAGAACCGUUGUAAGAUGAGCUCGCGUAGGAUUAGGUAGUUGGUAAGGUAAAAGCUUAUCCAAGCCGAUGAUCCUUAGCUGUUCUGAGAGGAUGAUCAGCCACACCGGGACUGAGACACGGCCCAGACGCUUUCGAGCGGCAGCAGUGAGGAAUUUUGGACAAUGGGCGAAAGCCUGAUCCAGCUAUAUCGCAUGAAUGAAGAAGGCUCAAUUGGUUGUAAAAUUCAUAGUUUCAUUGUAGAUUAUGACAUUGAUGAAAUGAAUAGUCCCGGCCAACUCCGUGC